rnacentral:rRNA from 1 species
UGAGCAAUCUGCCCUUCACAUCGGAAUAACCAUUGGAAACGAUGGCUAAUACCGAAUAUGACUUCGGAUCGCAUGAUCUGAAGUGGAAAGCUCCGGCGGUGAAGGAUGAGCUCGCGGCCUAUCAGCUUGUUGGUGAGGUAAUAGCUCACCAAGGCGAUGACGGGUAGCCGGCCUGAGAGGGUGACCGGCCACACUGGGACUGAGACACCGGCACGUACCG